ACCUUGAUACCAUUAUACCUGAGGUAUAAUUCAGCUUUUCAAGCUCUUUCUUGUAAAUUUAAUGAUAUGGUCGCCUGAGGGAUGGAUAAGAAGGGAUCCCAAUUAUGUCAUUACUUUAACCAUUUAGUUUGAGGCUGCUGUUCAUGUUUAAUUUAUUCAUAUUCUGUUUCAAGAUUUUUGGAAUUUGCUUUAGAUGCCCAUAAAAAUUCUUAGAAGAAAAGGAAUCGCAUGUGGUAUAAAUUCUUGAAAUAUAUUAAUUGAAGAAGGUUAACGAGAUGAGAUAGCUUUUCCUCUUCCUUUGGAUCCACAUUUUAUCGGAUUUAAUUGUGUGGUUAAUGGAAAACUUGUUUCAUUCAAGGAGUUAACAUGAGCUUCCUUUGAUGUUUCUGUCUUUGUGUGGAUUGAGGGAAAUGGAGAGAAAA
rnacentral:misc_RNA from 1 species